AACCUUGGAGAACACCUCCCUUUCAUAUGACUUCUGCAAAGGGCGUGUUUCAGCUCACAGGGACAAAGAGUCACUGCACCAGAGAACCAGAAAGAGUGAAGAAAUGUUUGUCCCCGGUGCUGAGAACACCAUCAGAUGAUCUUUCUGCCCAGAGCCACUAUCUGUCCCUAAAUAUCAGGUUUAUCAAUGCCUGGCCAUCUCUUUUCAAUUUGGGACAACUGCCAGCGACCACUAGCUAGCUCCAGAAUUCCUCAGAUGUUUCAGGAAACUGCCGCAACUUUGUAGAGCACAGUUUGAAAGCUACUGCUGAAGAAAUAUGUCACCUUGAAGGCUUUUUAAACACGGGAUUUGCAAGAUAGGGUUUGCAUUUUAGAAACAUUAUUCUGCUUGCUACACUACUGAGUUUGGAUGAGGGAGACUUGAAGGCAAGGGAGCUCUGUUAUGAAAUAACUACACUUUUCUUAUAGAAGAAGACUAUAAUAGACUGUAUCAAAAAUGUCUACGUUCCAUAGCAUUGG
rnacentral:lncRNA from 10 species